rnacentral:misc_RNA from 1 species
CAACCCCUAAGCACAGCUUAUUGUUGGGCGUCUACGUCUGUAGUGCCUCAAAGACAUUGGCGGAGCGGCAGCAGUCCUCUGAGCGUAGUAAUUCUUUAUCUCGCUUCUGUUAGGCGCUGCACCCCCGGCCGUAAAACCCCCAAUUUUUUCU